GAGCUGACGACAACAUGCACACUGUACACGACUUGCGGAGCACAUCUCUGCAGCUGUCGUGCAUGUCAAGCUUGUAGUCUUCGCGUGCAUCGAAUAAUCGCAUGCUCGCCGCUGUGCGGGCCCCGUCAAUUCCUUGAGUUUUAGCUGCGGCCGUACUCCCAGGCGGGCACUUAAUGCGUUAGCUACGCACAGAACGAGUGGAACCGCCCCACACCUAGUGCCAACGUUUACGGCAUGGACUAGCAGGGUAUCUAAUCCUGUUCGCUCCCCAUGCUUUCGCUCCUCAGCGUCAGUAACGGCCCAGAGACCUGCCUUCGCCAUCGGUGUUCCUCCUGAUAUCUGCGCAUUCCACCGCUACACCAGGAAUUCCAGUCUCCCCUACCGCACUCCAGCCUGCCCGUACCCGAUGCCAGCCCGAGGUUGAGCCUCGGGUUUUCACACCAGACGCGACAGACCGCCUACGAGCUCUUUACGCCCAAUAAUUCCGGACAACGCUUGCGCCCUACGUAUUACCGCGGCUGCUGGCACGUAGUUAGCCGGCGCUUCUUCUACAAGUACCGUCACCCGAAAGCUUCUUCCUUGUCGAAAGAGGUUUACAACCCGAAGGCCGUCAUCCCUCACGCGGCGUCGCUGCAUCAGGCUUUCGCCCAUUGUGCAAUAUUCCCCACUGCUGCCUCCCGUAGGAGUCUGGGCCGUGUCUCAGUCCCAGUGUGGCCGGUCGCCCUCUCAGGCCGGCUACCCGUCGACGCCUUGGUAGGCCAUCACCCCACCAACAAGCUGAUAGGCCGCGAGCCCAUCCCCCACCAAUAAAUCUUUCCAACCCCCACCAUGCGGCAGAGACUGAAUAUCCGGUAUUAGACCUCGUUUCCAAGGCUUAUCCCGAAGAGGGGGGCAGGUUACUCACGUGUUACUCACCCGUUCGCCACUAAUCCAACCAGCAAGCUGGGCUUCAUCGUUCGACUGCAAGGUUAUACCCCGCAAUAGCUUGCCC
rnacentral:rRNA from 1 species